rnacentral:rRNA from 1 species
AGUGAACGCUGGCGGUAGGCCUAACACAUGCAAGUCGAACGGCAGCACAGUAAGAGCUUGCUCUUACGGGUGGCGAGUGGCGGACGGGUGAGGAAUACAUCGGAAUCUACUUUUUCGUGGGGGAUAACGUAGGGAAACUUACGCUAAUACCGCAUACGACCUACGGGUGAAAGCAGGGGAUCUUCGGACCUUGCGCGAUUGAAUUAGCCGAUGUCGGAUUAGCUAGUUGGCGGGGUAAAGGCCCACCAAGGCGACGAUCCGUAGCUGGUCUGAGAGGCUGAUCAGCCACACUGGAACUGAGACACGGUCCAGACUCCUACGGGAGGCAGCAGUGGGGAAUAUUAGACAAUGGGCGCAAGCCUGAUCCAGCCAUACCGCGUGGGUGAAGAAGGCCUUCGGGGUGUAAAGCCCUUUUGUUGGGAAAGAAAAGCAGCAGGUUAAUACCCCGCUGUUCUGACGGUACCCAAAGAAUAAGCACCGGCUAACUUCGUG